AUUGAACGCUGGCGGCAGGCUUAACACAUGCAAGUCGAGCGAGCGGCGGACGGGUGAGUUAUGUCGGGGACACUGCCUGUUGGAGGGGGAUCACUUCUGGAAACGGUAGCAAAUAUCGCAUACUAUCAGAUGUGCCCAGAUGGGUUUAGCUAGGAGGGGGGGUAAUGUCUCACCUAGGCGACGAUCCCUAGCUGGUCUGAGAGGAUGACCAGCCACACUGGAACUGAGACACGGUCCAGACUCCUACGGGAGGCAGCAGUGGGGAAUAUGGCACAAUGGGCGCAAGCCUGAUGCAGCCAUGCCGCGUGUGUGAAGAAGGCCUUCGGGUUGUAAAGCACUUUCAGCGAGGAGGCGUUACUCGCAGAAGAAGCACCGGCUAACUCCGUGCCAGCAGCCGCGGUAAUUC
rnacentral:rRNA from 1 species